rnacentral:rRNA from 1 species
CAGUCGCCACGGUAAUGCGAAGGGUGCAAGCGUUAAUCGGAAUUACUGGGCGUAAAGCGUGCGUAGGCGGUGAGUUAAGUCUGCUGUGAAAUCCCCGGGCUCAACCUGGGAAUGGCAGUGGAUACUGGCUCGCUAGAGUGUGUCAGAGGAUGGUGGAAUUCCCGGUGUAGCGGUGAAAUGCGUAGAGAUCGGGAGGAACAUCAGUGGCGAAGGCGGCCAUCUGGGACAACACUGACGCUGAGGCACGAAAGCGUGGGGAGCAAACAGGAUUAGAUACCCGCGUAGUCCCUGUCUCUUAUAC